rnacentral:other from 1 species
GCAAUCCUGAUGUGUGCGUCCAUGAAAAGUGUUUUGACCGAACAACUGUAUACUUGGGAGCUCGAAGUAGUUCCUAUGUUGCGUACGUGCCUUGAAUUAGGAAGUACAAUAAAUAUAGGACAGAGCGCCCACCUGCCGUGAGCGGGAUCAAAGCUUCAUACUGGACGGCACGAUCGGGAUUGUG